GAAACGGCAACACCAUAUUAUAAGAAGGAAGAGUGAGAGAGAGAAGAGAGUUUUAUCACCGUUGUGCAGCAAGCAAACUAUAACCGUAACUGUUUUCCAUUCCAAUCCUAUCAGAUCUCUCAAUCUAACCCUAACUCUUCUCUCUCUCUCUCUCUCUCUCACCGGAUUCUGUUUCUCUCCGAUUCAUUCAUCUCCGGUUCCGGUUACUUGAUGAUGAUGAUGAUGUUAUACUAGUAGUGGAUAUUGUUGCAGAAGAAGAAAAUAAAUGGAUGAUAGAGGUGCUUCAUUCGUUGCUGUUCGAAGACCCAAUCCUCACACCGAUACCUGCAAUUCUAAUUCUGCUGAGGCUGUGGCAGGAUCAGCAGCAUGGCUUGGUAGAGGUCUGUCUUGUGUCUGUGCACAGAGAAGAGAUAGCGAUGCGGGUAGCUUUUUCGAUUUAACUCUAGCCCAGGAGGAGUGCUUGGAGAGGCUACAGAGACGAAUAGAAGUUCCAUAUGAUGGUUCUAUAGUUGAGCACCAGGAGGCCCUUAAGGCUUUAUGGAAGGUUGCAUUUCCUGAAGAAGAACUUCGUGGCUUGAUAUCGGAGCAGUGGAAGGAAAUGGGCUGGCAAGGGAAGGAUCCAUCAACAGAUUUUAGGGGUGGCGGUUUUAUUUCUUUGGAGAAUUUUCUGUUCUUUGCUAGGAAUUUCCCGAAAUCCUUCCAGGAUCUGUUAUGGAAGCGGGAAGGAGAUCGUUCCGUGUGGGAGUACCCGUUUGCCGUUGCUGGUGUUAACAUCACAUUCAUGCUGGUGCAGAUGCUUGAUCUUGAAGCAGUCAAGCCACGCACACUGGUGGGAGCAACUUUUCUAAAGUUUCUUGAAGAAAAUGAAUCAGCUUUUGAUCUUCUCUACUGCAUAGCUUUCAAGCUGAUGGAUCACCAAUGGCUUUCUAUGCGUGCCUCAUACAUGGAUUUCAAUGAAACAAUCAAAUAAAAGUGUCAUGAAUAGGAACCACAAACAUUUUAAUGGAGAACCGACAUUUAUCAUCAUUAAAAUAGAGAGAUGAGAGAUUGUCUUGGAGACAGUGAUGAAAUCUACACGUCAAGAGCUAGAAAAAGAGCUUCUUCAAGAAGUUUCUCGUCUUGAAGAUUUACCCUCAUACAAACUACUUUCACAAUAGAUAUCAGUCUAAAGAAACCUGUCAGUCUCCUAGAGUUUAGCUUUGAAGGCCUUUGUGCAUGGACGAUGUGCUUCUAUUAUAAUUUCCGUGCCUGCCAUUCAGCAUGCAAUAACAUUUCAGCAAGACUGAGUCAAAACUUCUAACACUAAUGUGAGCUUAAAAAGCCUCACAGACUUACAGUGUGUAUGGAUAAGAUUGUAAUCAUCGCAAACUGAAAAAUAACAAUUCCCAAGGAGGUGAUUUCUUCCAAAGGAAUGAUUUGUUGCUUGUGCUUCCAUUAGAAUGGUGUUGGGAGGCUCCUGAACGCUAAAUGGUGAAGUCAGCAAGGUUUGAGACGCAGUAGAUAAGUUCUUAGUCAAAUUGAGGAUGAUAUUGUUGACAGACAUGAUUACCGGAGUCUUAAAUGUAAAAUUGUUGGGUGUUAAAUUUUUAAUGAAUUGUGGUGUGUCACUUUUGCGUGGUUUCCCCCGCGGACCGCGGUUCAUGGUUCAUUAACGGGUAAAUGCAGCUUGCAGUAUUGUAUUUCAGCGGAGUUUUGAGGUGACUGAAUCUUGCUCAUUUGUUUCUGAAGGAGUCAUAUUUGUUUGAGUAAUA